UUAGUCACGUAUUCUACUGUUGCAUAAUCACGGGCGGCUCACUUCACAACGACACUCUUCCUCUACCUGAGUAGUGUCGAAGAAAGUUUACGUAAUGCUAAACAUUUUAAAUCUCCCUCGUGGCUCCUAUGAGAUAUUUGGCUUUUUUGUCUGUUUUCGAACAUUGUACUAUGCUCUGAAAAAUUAUGCGCCUACACCAUCUGGACUGAAAUCAUCACCUCCGAGAAAAACCUGGCUGUACCAAAAUAUAUCUGUGUCAUUUGUACACUCCUUCAUUUCAGCUAUUUUAUCAGUCUACUGCUUUUUUGACGAACCAGCGAUGUUGACAAAUAUGCUCACGGCAUGGAGUUAUACAGCCUUUUACCUAAUUACCUUCUGUACUGGAUAUUUUAUUCAUGAUUUCUUUGAUAUGCUGAUGUAUGAUGCCAGUAAUUCUGUGAGUCUUCUCCUACACCACAUAGUGGUAUGCAUGGCCUUUUCUAUUGCAGUUUUCAGCAAAAUGUACAUCGCCUUUGCAGUUUGUUCUCUUUUAAUGGAAGUCAACAGUGUCUUCCUACAUUUUAGACAAUUGUUGAACCUUCAUGGAGUUAGCAAAACUUGUCUGUUGUACCGAGUAGUGCGUAUUGUUGUGUUAAUGACAUUUGUGUGCUUCCGAUUCCUUACCUCUGCAUGGAUGACGAAUUUUGUCAUACAGCAUCGCAAUGACUUACCAUUUACACAUUUCUUAUUUUCUGCAACUGGUAUGGCUAUUAUCUCAGGGCUCAAUAUUCAAAUAUUUAUGGCAUUUUGGCGAGCAGAAUUUAAACCCAACCAAAAUAAGCAGAGAGACCAUUAAAUCCUCAGCUUACCACAACAUUUAUUGUCCAACACAGUUCAGAAUUUUAGGUUUGAAUUGUAUUUCGCUCUACACUCAUGUGUAUUGAGUACUUUCUAGCAGCAUUUACGAAAAUUUCCCACAACAAGGUUUAAUAAUUAUAUUAUGAAUAAAUUGGUGUUACAGUG
rnacentral:misc_RNA from 1 species